UUCUAUUAUCAAAACUCUAUACUGCAUUUUUUCACAUAUCAACUCAUACUGUAGAGCAAGCAAUGCUCAUGGUGCGACGUCUUUUAUCUCCGUUACCAAGAGUCUCGUACCAUCUACCAAUCUUAUUGUCUUAUAGACCUUUUAUAAGGUUCAUAUCAUAAUGCUCCACCAAAACACUCACCACACGAGAAGACAAUCACUGGUCUAGAGGCUAGCACUGGAGGGUACCAAAAUGACAUGCAGUGUUCCAUUGUUAGGAGGAAGUUGCAAACGAAGGGGAAACAGCUUGCCGUUUAAUGGACUGCGAGUGCACACCACAGCGUCCUCCAUGCACGUUUCUUCUCGCAACGUCUGAGUCAGCUCCGCCACGCUGUUCCCUUUAAACGUGAAAGCAUAUCCAACGCUCGAUUCAUCCUCCACGUGUCCUUCAUCGUCAGCGAUGUGGUAGUAUAUCGUUCUCCCAUCCGAUUUCGGUGGAGACACAACCGACUGGUCAAAACCAAAGUUCAUGUCAGGAGGGUAAUUAUAAACAAAAUUUGAGGGUAUUUCAGUAAUUAGCAAUAGUAACUCACAUCUUGUUCGGAUCUCUCUGAAAGAGAAGACGGAGUCCUCGAUGGCCUCCUAUGCGGUGGUGGCUGCGUCUUCACCGGCGGAGGCUGCGUCUUCGGUGACGGAGUGAACUCAGUCUCCGCCGUGACUUGAGGAUUAACCAAGAUCUCAACAACAUCAACCUCCCACGAGAUGGAAUCCUGAGUAGCCGACAAAUGAGGAUUGUCGUGCGUCACCGAGUUUCUCCACGGCGGAAGACCACCGUUACCUCGUAGAUAGUUACCGUAUCUCGUCCUGAGCUUAAUCUUGGAUCCUUCUCUAACUGGUUCCCACUCAACAGACGAGUCGAGACGACUCGGUUUUAGCUGAAUCACUUUCUUCCCCGUAGCUCCAAGCAAGAACCGCUCGUUCGAAGCGGUUAGGUAUUUACCGUAACAGCUUUUGAGACGGAUUACGUGGUACGAAUCGCGAACCGGUUCGACGGUCCAUCGAGCGUUUUUGGUUGAUCCGUUUCGGUCUUGUGUCACUGUUUCCUCGUCGUCGUCUGCGGAUAGAUACUUGUUGUGGCUGUUACGCAUUCGAAUGGCUUUAGCUUUCUGGAAAAACUCCAUUGCUGAGACUGUUUCGUUUUGGUUUAAGCUACUCGUCUUCUCCUUUUGGUUGAAGCUACUCGCUUUCUGUUAAAAAAAAAAUGAGUGUGGGAAUAUGUAAGAAGUGGUGAAGAUGCGGUUUGUGUUUAUAUGUGCAUCUUUCUCUCUGUCCUUGGUCUGGUCUAACUUUUUGUAGUAACGCGGACAUUACACGGGACUAGUCAGAGACGCAUGAAAAUUGAAAAGUCAGAGUUUGCUGAUUGGAUUUACCGCGUUUUAAUUUCCACGUCAGCACAGUGUAAUAGCAUGUUUUUAUUCUGUUAAUGUGUCUUAAUUUCAAAGUAGUACAAAUGCAAUGUUACUACUACAUUUCUGGAUUGGCAUCCUGAAAAAGAGUUAAUGAUGAGAAUCCUACUAUCUAUAUUUUACUUUGUAUUCAAGACCAAAUCGGGACUUCGCAUUUCUUUUACUUUUCAAAACUACUCCAAGAGAAGUUUAAGGAGUAUAAAUUUUCUUUUAAUACAAAGUUGGAUUCAGGUUCUCCAAGAGAAGUUUAAACAGAAUACUGGGAGUCAGUGUAGAAUAUCAAAGGUUAAUCUUUUUUUGGAUCAAAUCAAAGGUUAAUCUAAAAAUCAUUGAUAAAGUGGUAAACUUUAACUAAAUUACAGUUGGAAUGGGACUAUUUGUAUUUUUUUAAUGAAAAGAUGAUAGAGAUAGGUAACCUAUUUUCCACAAAAAAACACCAUGUUAUUUUACCAUUUUCCAAGAGAUCAUCUUAAGUUUUCAUGUUAUCAGCAUUGGUGAAAUUUUGUAAGAGUUUUCAUGUUAUCAGCAUUGGUGAAAUUUUGUAAGAGUCUUCUUGUUAUAAUAAAUAAAUAAAUAAAACUGAAGAAAGAAAAACAUAGUCUUUCAAAUCAAUUUUUUUUGGCAAAAGUUACAUGUCAAUUGUUCCAUGUACUUGAAAUAUUAUUUUAGAAACUUAAUAUAACUUUUAUUGAUAAUGAUGCUUUUAGAAAUUUAGUCAUGUAGUUUUCGAUGGUACAUCAAAAACAAACAUAGCAACUGUUUUAUCAAGUUCCAUUAAUAGCUUAAGAUUUGAUACGAUGAUAUAUAUAUAUAUAUAUUUUUUUUUUCUGAAACACUGAUACAAUGAUAUAUACAUAUAUAUAAUAUUCCGUUUAAGUUUAGAACUUAGGAAUGUAAGGUAAAGGUGGUAUAGACAUUAAACCUAAAUGUGAAAUAAUGGAAAAAUAUAAUACAUAGUUUCUAACAAAAUAAAAUGCAUUUGUAUACCUUUCUCGCUCAAAAUGUAAUAUACUAAUAUUGUAUUGGGUUGUUGUUGUUUUUUUCUUUCUCUUUUUUGUUGUAAUAAGUUGCUUGCAUUGUAAACUUUUGAAAAAGAAAAUGGUACUAAAAUUUUAACAUUUUACCAAGAAAAAUGUAAUACUGUCUCUAUGCCAUAAAGAGAUUUGAAAAAGAGGAUUUAAAGGAAUGCUUAUAGAAUAAGUGUCUAGUCUCUUGCCCGCAAGAAAGACCAAGAAAAAAGGAAAUUCAUGAGUGUGGGACUCUCCUAACUGCUUCCUUCCUUGGACCAUAUGGUCCCACAGUCCAUGCCAUUACAAAUAAAUCAUAACUAAACCAACUUUUUCACCAUACUUUGUUUCCACGUGUCUUGUGUUAGCUGAGAUUAGAUUUAUUUAUAUGAAGCCAUUAGGUGUAAGUUUUAAAUGUUGGCCUAAAAGAUUAGGUAUAAAAAAAUUCUUAAUCAUCCUAUAUAGGUACGUAUAAUUGUUUUAAGAACUUUUACUGUCACUUACAUGUUACUAACUUUAGCUGGAUUUCAAAUGUCAUAUUUUCAACUGUUGUAGUUUCUAUAGUGAAUUAUAAAAUAAGAAGUUGUUCUAAGUAAACUACACAUUUAAUUAAUAUAAGAUAUAAUAAAAAAUAUGAAAUUUCUGAGUGCUAUUAGGUUGGUGGAACGAUGUAUGUGCUUGUGGAGCACUCACUAUAUAUGUUAGUGGAGAAAAGAAUCAUAUAUAGUUUCCAAGUUUCUAUAACACUAAAUAUUAGUAUGGUAAUUUAUCCUCCAUUUUUCUAUCUAAUGCAUGCCAACCAAAAUUGGGCUGAGUCCAGCUAACUAUAAUAACUUUCUAUGGUACACUUAAUUAAGAAACAACUAUUCAAUGCACAAUGUAAAUGAAAAUUGAUAAGUAAAGACUUAGUCAAACUUACCGGUUUUGAGGACCAUCUCGGAGACAUUGAACUCAAACCAAGAGAAGCGAACCGAUCAAUACUCUUCAUUGACCUGGCGGAAACGGGCGACGCAGGCUCUGACCCGAGAUCCGACCCGGAGAUAUGUGAAGAAACCGGAGAAGAAACAGAGCUCUCAUCUCCAGCAGACAUGUUUUCAAGAUCAGAACCAUCAACUGUAAUAACAUCCCAAACCAACCAGUUCUUGGUCUUCGAUGUAUGAGGCUCGUCGUGAGUAACGGAGUUUCUCCACGGCGGUGUUCCUCCGUUAGCCCUCAUCCAUUUACCGCACCAAGACUUCAGCUUCACCGAGAAACCAUCUCGCACCGGUUCCCACUGCGUUUGCCAAUCCAUAGGCUUGUUAGACGAGUGCGUUUGAGUCACUUUCUCACCGGUCAUACCUAACAGCAACGGUUUAUUGCUCGCCGUUAAGUAGGUGCCGUGACUGCUUUUUAACCUUAUCAGAUUCGGUUUAGCCUCAACAGUCUCUACCGUCCAUACGGCUCGCCGUGCAUCUCCUUUACGACUUUGACGGAUGGUUUCUUGAUCGUCGUCGGCGACUAGAAACUUAUCCAGGUGGCUCCUUAACUUAACGGCUUCUCCUUUGGUGAAUAGCUCCAUUUCUUUGAUGUUUGAAGAAGAGGCAAAAGAUCAAACUAGCAGAAAAUAAACUUUUGUGAUGAAAGGAUGUCUGAAUUAUGAAUGGACUGCUUUUAUGGUUAUAUAGAUAAAUGAUUUUAAAUGGGACAUAGAGUCCUUGCUAAAAGGGAACUAUUGUAAGUUAAUAUUCGGAGUAUUAUUCGGCUUGAAAUUAUAUAGAAAUUUCCCAAAUCAAAUGACGAAAUGACUAUUAAUAAAAUAUUAAACAGUAUAGAAAUGUAAUAUUUAAUUUGCAGAAGGUUCCACUUUGCGUAACUAAAUGUAUUUGUACAUGUCGACAAAAAAAAUGUAUUUGUACAUUUGGCCUCACGCGCGUGAAUUGCGUGAUGUGAAUAUUUCACAAGAAAAUGUCUCACGUUACGGUUUUCAAUGUUUGUUUUCAUUCCAUCUAGACCGGUAUACACUUCAAGUCAUCAUAUACUACGAUGCAACCAAAUGUUUGUGUUUCCAUUAUGUCUUCAUUUGUUUGGUUUGCACUACUGGCAUGUUGAUGAAAGAUCAGUGUAGUUAAACUAUCUUAAACGUAGCUCUUGGCCUUCUUUUUAUUUUCCAAAGUGCUUAUAAACUUCAUAAUCAGAUUAAAAGUAUAUAUUAAUAGAGAGAAUCGAUAAUUAUAACGUUCAUAAUAUAUGUUGUGAAUAGAAUGUUCAUAUUAUAUAUUUUGAACCAAUAAAGAAAAAAAAUGGAAACAAUGGAAAAUGAGAGAAGAUGAGGAGAGGUAACUGUAGUGCGCGUGGGCGUAUGUUGUAUUUAUUUUCCACGAACCAAACAAAGUCAAUAGAAGACUUAUUAUGAAUAUUUAAGAUUCGUACAUGUCUAAACACAGUUGAAUACAUAGAUACAAACAUUACCGUAUAAUACGUGUGUAUCAUAUCUUUUCUUGGAAAAGUAUAAUUAAUGUUAGACUUGGAUUCUUUUGGGUUCUUUUUGUCAACAUGCUCUAGUUGAGCUUUUCUUAAUCCUAAUCGUUGGCUUUUGUUGCCACGUCAGGCUGUGGAAGAAACGGUCUUAGUUUGUUCUCCCAACACCAAAUAUAUGGCUCUCUUAAAAUUCAUGACACUUCAAAUUCGUAGGGCGAUGAUGCAUCAUGAAUCAUGCUGGAAAGAAGAUGAUAGAAGCUCUUCAAUUUCCUUUGCAAUUUGUAAGCAAUACUUAGACCAAGUCGAUUUAAUCUUAAACAUCGAUAAUGUGAACUUCCAAGAAUGUCUAUUAUUCUUGGUCAAACGGCAAAUUUACAUAGAAUGAUAACGGUCAACUUUUACAUUGACCAUAAUGAUUCAAACUAUAUUAAACAACACGCAAAAACAUGUCUAGAAGAUAACAAGGCUUUUCGGUGCAAUCAAACAAACUUGAAAUAUGAAGAUUCCAAUGCUUUUGGUUUUUCACAUGCGGUAUAAGCGUCUGGCCUUGCGUUCUGUGGCGUAACUCUUCUCCUACCACAAUUGUGAACAUUAAUCUCUCCACGUAAAGGUAGAUGUGUCCUGAAUCAACAAAAUUUGGUCAUAUAUAUCAUAUCUGACUUAAAGAACACCAGUAAACGCCACAAGAGUUGGCUAAAAAAAAACUGAAUAAGAGUGUUUUUGGGAGUGUACCAGUGGAUGAUUGGCCGGUGAGUAACAACAAUUUGUACCAGAUUUCAUUAAAAACAUCAAUCGUAAAUACGAUGCUCCAGUAACCUAUUUGAUCACAAAAGAGAGUAUAAUUUCUUCUGUUUUCUUCAAUAGAUAUUGAUUUGAAUUGACAUAUUACCUUGUAGUCAGCAGCGUCAAAGUCUGGACCGAGCAGUUCUAGAGCUUUUUUUGUAGUUGCCACUGGAUCGUGGUGGUGAGUAGUGGCGAGGGUGAUUUCUUCGGAGACGGCGGCGGAGAGAGGAGCGCGGAGCUUGUCGAGCUCUUCGAUGAGGACGAGGACGGACGGUUUGGAGCGGAGGACUUCUUGUUGCUCCUUGUUUAGGGUUUUCCCCUGAGAGAUCGAUUCUUCCAUUUGAGUGAUUCGGUUGAGUUUCUUGCGGAGGGCGCGGAGACGCUUGUUGAUGAGUCCCAUCACUGGUCCUUCGCUGGCGUCUGAGGAAGAUGUCGCUGUCGCUGUCGCAGUAGCGGUAGGUGCCAUGGUGUUGGAUUUGUGUAGGAGAUCGAUUUAAUCGGCGGAGAAAGUGACCACCGUUGAACAGCGGCGGUGAAGAAAUGAGAGAGAAGAGGAAGAGGAAGAGGAUGAUUAGGGUUUUUCUGAGAGAUGUAAGUGACUGCUAUGUGUUCUUAAAUAUAUUGGAUAAUUGAUACUGAAAAAGAUAAAAUCAAUGAACCGAAAUUACUCCCUUAAUUUCUAAACUAUUUUUUCGCGGAUUAGAUUUUUAAAAAAUUAUUAUGUAUCAAUUUAGGUGGUUCUUGGAAAUAACAUACGAAAGUUUAACAAAAUUUAUUUCUUACAGAUGAAGAUACACUUUCUUUUCCUCUUAUUUUUCUUCUUUUCUCCAAAGAGAGUAUUUUAAUCAAGUAUAUGAGAAAAUAAGAUAUUUGUAUAGUGGAUAAUGCCAUUAGCAUUUUUGAAUGAUUGUUGUGGAAAUACUUGCUUCUCCGGCUUUUAGCUGAUUUUUUAGUACAAUAUGCAUACGGUCAUGCAUUCGAUUGUUUUUUAUUGUACAAUUUAAUUUUUCAGGGUAGUGAUGCUCGCAUUUGACUUCAUGGUUGAGCAUUUGUAUUUCUCUGGAGUCUUGUGUGUUGGGGGUUGUUGUAGGAAAUCAAUGGAAAUUCAGCCGACAUGAAUUAACAUUUCUGGUACAGCGUAACAUGAUGUUCUAACGUUUACACAUACUCCAAUUUUUCAAGAUACUCCUUUUCAUUUACCAGUAAGUACUAAGUAGUAACUAUGAUUUAUUGUACAUAGGAAAAACAAAACAAUACUCGUUCCUGUCGAAUGCAUGCUCCUACAAAUAACAAUCCAAAUGCUCGUUUACAAAAUGAAAUCGUUUAUUUACAACAAGAAAAACGAACAACUUGGUCUAUAUUCACCAAAAAGAAUGUAUAAGCAUUUUUUUCUAUUAUCAAAACUCUAUACUGCAUUUUUUCACAUAUCAACUCAUACUGUAGAGCAAGCAAUGCUCAUGGUGCGACGUCUUUUAUCUCCGUUACCAAGAGUCUCGUACCAUCUACCAAUCUUAUUGUCUUAUAGACCUUUUAUAAGGUUCAUAUCAUAAUGCUCCACCAAAACACUCACCACACGAGAAGACAAUCACUGGUCUAGAGGCUAGCACUGGAGGGUACCAAAAUGACAUGCAGUGUUCCAUUGUUAGGAGGAAGUUGCAAACGAAGGGGAAACAGCUUGCCGUUUAA
rnacentral:lncRNA from 1 species